AUGAACGCUGGCGGCGUGCCUAAUACAUGCAAGUCGAGCGAACAGACGAGGAGCUUGCUCCUCUGACGUUAGCGGCGGACGGGUGAGAAACACGUGGAUAACCUACCUAUAAGACUGGGAUAACUUCGGGAAACCGGAGCUAAUACCGGAUAAUAUAUUGAACCGCAUGGUUCAAUAGUGAAAGACGGUUUUGCUGUCACUUAUAGAUGGAUCCGCGCCGCAUUAGCUAGUUGGUAAGGUAACGGCUUACCAAGGCGACGAUGCGUAGCCGACCUGAGAGGGUGAUCGGCCACACUGGAACUGAGACACGGUCCAGACUCCUACGGGAGGCAGCAGUAGGGAAUCUUCCGCAAUGGGCGAAAGCCUGACGGAGCAACGCCGCGUGAGUGAUGAAGGUCUUCGGAUCGUAAAACUCUGUUAUUAGGGAAGAACAAAUGUGUAAGUAACUAUGCACGUCUUGACGGUACCUAAUCAGAAAGCCACGGCUAACUACGUG
rnacentral:rRNA from 1 species